UUAACUCAUUUUUGUAUGGAGUUCGAACGUUUGCCUACGUUUGCCGCUAGGGGCGCUGUUCCAACUGCAUACAAGCUUAAGUUA
rnacentral:pre_miRNA from 1 species